CACGUAGGGUGAGAGCGUUGUCCGGAAGGAGGGGGCGUAAAGAGCGCGUAGGCGGUCUGUUGCGUCCGCUGUGAAAACUCGGGGCUUAACCCCGAGCCUGCAGUGGAUACGGGCAGACUAGAGGUAGGUAGGGGAGAAUGGAAUUCCCGGUGUAGCGGUGAAAUGCGCAGAUAUCGGGAGGACCACCGCUGGCGAAGGCGGUUCUCUGGGCCUUGCCUGACGCUGAGGAGCGACAGCGUGGGGAGCGAACAGG
rnacentral:rRNA from 1 species